rnacentral:rRNA from 1 species
UGCAGUCGAGCGCACCAUUUAUGGUGAGCGGCAGACGGGUGAGUAAUGUAUGGGAAUCUACCUAUUACUACGGAAUAACACAGAGAAAUUUGUGCUAAUACCGUAUAGUUCCGAGAGGAUAAAGAUUUAUCGGUAAUAGAUGAGCCCAUAUUAGAUUAGCUAGUUGGUAAGGUAAAGGCUUACCAAGGCGACGAUCUAUAGCUGGUCUGAGAGGAUGAUCAGCCACACUGGGACUGAGACACGGCCCAGACUCCUACGGGAGGCAGCAGUGGGGAAUAUUGGACAAUGGGCGCAAGCCUGAUCCAGCCAUGCCGCGUGAGUGAUGAAGGCCUUAGGGUUGUAAAGCUCUUUCGCCGGUGAAGAUAAUGACGGUAACCGGAAAAGAAGCCCCGGCUAACUUCGUGCCAGCAGCCGCGGUAAUACGAAGGGGGCUAGCGUUGUUCGGAUUUACUGGGCGUAAAGCGCGCGUAGGCGGAUAAAUUAGUUAGAGGUGAAAUCCCAGGGCUCAACCCUGGAACUGCCUUUAAUACUGUUUAUCUAGAGUAUGAAAGAGGUGAGUGGAAUUCCGAGUGUAGAGGUGAAAUUCGUAGAUAUUCGGAGGAACAUCAGUGGCGAAGGCGGCUCACUGGUUCAUUACUGACGCUGAGGUGCGAAAGCGUGGGGAGCAAACAG